rnacentral:rRNA from 1 species
UUCGCCCUUCGGUUGAUCCUGCCGGACCUGACUGCUAUCGGAUUGAUACUAAGCCAUGCGAGUCAUUGUAGCAAUACAAGGCAGACGGCUCAGUAACGCGUAGUCAACCUAACCUAUGGACGGGAAUAACCUCGGGAAACUGAGAAUAAUGCCCGAUAGAACACUAUACCUGGAAUGGUUUGUGUUCCAAAUGAUUUAUCGCCGUAGGAUGGGACUGCGGCCUAUCAGUUUGUUGGUGAGGUAAUGGCCCACCAAGACUAUUACAGGUACGGGCUCUGAGAGGAGUAGCCCGGAGAUGGGUACUGAGACACGGACCCAGGCCCUAUGGGGCGCAGCAGGCGAGAAAACUUUGCAAUGUGCGAAAGCACGACAAGGUUAAUCCGAGUGAUUUGUGCUAAACGAAUCUUUUGUUAGUCCUAGAACCACUAACGAAUAAGGGGUGGGCAAGUUCUGGUGUCAGCCGCCGCGGUAAAACCAGCACCUCAAGUGGUCAGGAUGAUUAUUGGGCCUAAAGCAUCCGUAGCCGGCUCUGUAAGUUUUCGGUUAAAUCUGUACGCUUAACGUACAGGCUGCCGGGAAUACUGCAGAGCUAGGGAGUGGGAGAGGUAGACGGUACUCGGUAGGAAGGGGUAAAAUCCUUUGAUCUAUUGAUGAC